UGGGGAAUUUUGGACAAUGGGGGAAACCCUGAUCCAGCCAUCCCGCGUGUGCGAUGAAGGCCUUCGGGUUGUAAAGCACUUUUGGCAGGAAAGAAACGUCAUGGGUUAAUACCCCGUGAAACUGACGGUACCUGCAGAAUAAGCACCGGCUAACUACGUGCCACCAGCCGCGGUAAUACGUAGGGUGCAAGCGUUAAUCGGAAUUACUGGGCGUAAAGCGUGCGCAGGCGGUUCGGAAAGAAAGAUGUGAAAUCCCAGAGCUCAACUUUGGAACUGCAUUUUUAACUACCGGGCUAGAGUGUGUCAGAGGGAGGUGGAAUUCCGCGUGUAGCAGUGAAAUGCGUAGAUAUGCGGAGGAACACCGAUGGCGAAGGCAGCCUCCUGGGAUAACACUGACGCUCAUGCACGAAAGCGUGGGGAGCAAACAGG
rnacentral:rRNA from 1 species